AUAUCUAUAAUUGGUGACUCCAGUAAGCUCCCCAAGUCAUUGCAGGACUUAAUAGAUAAAGCUGUAAAGACUACUAAGCAAAAUUCACGACUUCACCUUGUUGUUGCAGUUAACUAUAGUGGACAGCAUGAUGUUGUACAAGCUUGUCAAACCAUCGCUCAAAAAGUGAAGGAUGGCAUUAUCGAAACCAAGGACAUUAAUAGUUUCCUAAUAGAGCAGGAAUUACAAACAAACUGUAUCGAUUUCCCUUGUCCUGAUUUGCUUAUAAGGACUAGUGGGGAGCUAAGGCUUAGCAAUUUCUUACUCUGGCAGUUGGCUUAUGCUGAACUGUUCUUUUCACAUUCACAUUGGCCUGAUUUUGGAGAAGCGGAAUUCAUGGAGGCUUUGUCUUCAUUUCAACAAAGGCAGAGGCGCUACGGUAGACAGAGCUCCUAGCUUUAUGCCAUGAACUUUUGGAUUAAUUGUGAGGCUGAGAAAACCUUAGAGAUCAUUGAAGGUCAGUUCUUAUGAGAAACAAGUUUGAGGUACUUGAGCUAUGUUGCUCUGAUCCUUUUUGGAGGAUCCAACACAGGUGCAGCGCACGGAUUUGGGUUACACUUGUCUCAUGAUCCUGCAAAUGGACCGCCGUGAGACAUAUCAUAUAGUAGCCAAUUAGAGCUCGCUCUGCCUCGUCUCCAACAAGCACAUGAGGCAAGAUCGAUGACUUGUUGCUAAGGAGGUAAAUACGGUAUCUCAGACACCUGACCACGAAGCAUCUGCGAUGGUCACAAACAACUGGUAUAGACUAGAAAUGAGGGAAGAUAAGUGACUCGUGAUGACCGUUUGAUUAUUCUAAGUCGAGAUUGCAGUCUUCACGUUGUUGAUAUCUUUUCUUUUUUUGUGUGUUUAUGUCUUAUUUCCUUUUACAUUUCCUCUACUUGCUGAAAGAUGAUGCAUUUAAUGUCAUAGUUUGAGCAAGUGAUACAUGUCAUGGUGCAUCUAUUUUAACGAUGGUUCGAUUUGGAAAAAUUUUCCUUAAAAAGGAAAUCAAAUCAAACCAAACCAAUUAAAUCGAGUUUUUAUGCAUUGGAAUUUAUUAUUUUUUCUUUUAAUAGUAUGUGACAGGCUUUCAAGUACAUAUUGGAAUUGACCAUAUUCCAGUAUAGCAUUACGUCAUUACCUAAUCAAUUACUAAGCAAAGGAGAAAUUAUACAUGUAAUCAAGUUAUAUAUGUAGCCUAUUCGAUAAAAUUGUAAGCAUUGUUUUAAGAAUUUAGCUAUUUCAAGAAAAUUUAUAAUACUCUAUUUCUUAUAAUGAAUUAUUACUAUUUUUAGUAAAAAAUUAAGUGUUCUUGAUUUACCUUGAUGUUUCGCGGAUAUUAAAUUAAAAAAUGUUAAAUAAUUAAAAGUUUCAAAAAUAAGUUAUUUUGAACAUGAAAUCUUUCUUCGAAUUUUCAAUUAAAGGCUACAAAUCAAAUUAGGAAGUAAAAAGAUAAAUAAUUGGAUUACUAUUGUAGACAUUGAAAAUUUGUGGGAUUCUUAAAGAAGUGUUCAAUUCUAGUUGAGAUCCUACGGAUAUAUUUGAUUCAUGUUAGAAUUCUUGGAGGAUCUUCUAACCCUAAAUCCUAGCUUAUGCCUAUAUAAAAGGGUACUAUAUUCCUUUGAAAAAAACAUUUUGAAUAUUCCGCAAAUUCAUAAAAUAUUCAUAUAGAAGUCAAAUCUAAAUCAUCUUAGUUCGAGAAAUACGCCACUAACGGCCCUCGAAUCAUGGAUAAAUCUUAUGAGAGGAGAAUCAAGGGAGGAGCAAAAUUGUACCCGCACUAUUAUCAAUAAAAUACUAUAUAUGUUUCUUCAAUUUUAUUUGUAUGAUUGAUUUAUUUUCCAUAUGUUUAAAAUUUGUUGCAAACAAACUAUAAAGACAUACCCAUAGAUUAUGAACCAAGGGUGUGGGGUUAUGUAUUGAUUGAUUUAGGUUUAUUUGUUCGACUUAUCGGAUAUCAAAAUUACAGAAAGUUAAAUUGUUAUAGAAUUAUUCAAAUAUUAAUUUAUCUGUUAUUGAUCGUUAGUGAUUUAAUUACCAAUUUAAUUGUUAAUAUUUCACGCACAAAAAAAUCAUUGAAAAUCACUUAGAAACAAAUUGACAAACAAAUGAAUCAUAUACAUGAGUUGACAGAUUACAUCUUCCUCAACGACAAACAUUGACACCUUGUAGAAUAAUCGAGAGUUGAGACAGUUAGAAAUGAAAGUUUGAAACUAAAACCUAGGUCAAGGACUUUUAUAUACUAAAUGAUAUAAAUAUAAUUUAUUGAUUUACUAUCGGGUUAUCGGUUAACACGUUAAGAAAAAACCUCAAAUCAUUAAGAACCGAUAACUCCAUAAUAAAAAAAUCAAAACGGUUAGCAAACCGCUAAACAAAUUAUCCAUUACCAAUAAACCAAUAAAUUUUUUUGUUUGAAAUUUUUAUUUCGAUUUAAUUUUGAACAGGCCUACAAGAAAUAUUUAUUUUGGUUCCAUUUUGUUUGCUUAAUAUUAAACACAAAUUUUAAAAUUAAAAAUCAAAAUCAAAUCAAAUCGAACUAGUAAAGAUUUUUUUAUUCGAUUUAUUCAAUUUUUCGAUUAUGUAUGACCACCCUAAAUUGCUUGUAGAAUUCAAAUUGUAUAAUUUGGAUUAAUUUAUUUUUGUUUUAUACUUCUAUUUUUUUAAUAGCCACACGUAUGUUGCGUAGAAAUUCGAGGUUUUCUUCUUGCAACAGCAACAACAACUUGGUUGAAAGCGAUAGUGAUUAUUUUCUAUUGUUCUGAAAGCACUAAACAUAUAAUUCCAUUGCACUUGUUUGACUUUCAAAUUUUGUGUCGGUUUGGAUUAGGGUUGUUCAAACUCGAAACGGAAUCAAUAAUUCAAAUUAAUAAUAACAGUUAUUGAUUUAUCGAUAAAUUAUUGAUUUAGUGAUUUCGAUAAUAAUUUUGAUUUUCUUUUAUUCUUGAGUUAUCAAUUCUUAGCAUUUUGAGAUUGUUUUUUAAUGAGUUAACCGAUAGCCAUAUAAUAAAUAAAUAAAUUAUAUUUAUGCAUUUGGUACAUAAGUCUUUGACUUAGGAUAUAGUUUCAUACUUUAUUUCUGGCUGUCUGGAACUUUUGGUUAUUCUAGAAUAUGUAAGUAUUUGUUUUUGAGCAAGAUACAAUCUAUCAACUCAUGUUAUGUUUUAUUUGGUUUGUCAUCUUGUUUCUAAGGGUUUCUUUGUGCCAAUUUAAAUUAACUUACUUUCCUUUUUAGUCAAUUGCAAAAAGAAAAACAAAUUUCUAUAUUAAGUAACAUCUAAUUUUAAUAUGUAAAUUUUAUCCCUAAUGAAAUGGUUUAUAGUCCGCACACAUUUCUAUAAUGUCUUUUAGACCACAAAUUUUUAAAGUCUUCAUUUCUUUCUUCAACUCCGAGUCGAACAGAAAAAAUAUUUUUUCGAUCAAAUAUUAAUAAUUAAAUCGAUAAUCGAACCGAUAAGUUUUUCAAGCACCUUCGGAUUUGCUUUUAUCUAUGAACUAGUUUCUAAAGCAUACACGUUGCGCGUGGUGCUUUGUCAAUAUUUACCAAAAUUGAGUGGCAUAAAAGGAUAAAUAGUAGUAAUAUUAGGUGACUUUAAAAAAUUACAAUUAUUUUUUAAUUUUUAAAAAAUAUUAUGUGACUUCAAAAAAUUACCUUACCUAUUUCUCUUACCUUCUCCAAGUCUGAGGUACGUAAACGAAAGAAAUUUUAAUAAUUCAGUUGAUUAAUGUUCUCUCUUAGGAGUGGACAUGAUAUGUGGAAUGGUAUUGCAAGUUUUGCAACCGUAAUACUAUUUGGUUUUUGAAACAUUAUAUCGUUAUCAUACCAAUUUAAUUUGGUAUGGUUCAGUAUUUUGAAUUUGGUUUCAAUAUGCUAUGGUAUGGUCAAUCGAUAAUCAUAGUUUGUUCAACUUCAACUAAUAUAUACUCAUAUAAUAAAGUAUUAUGACUUCAACAAUUAGAAAAACUCUCAAUUAUAUCAUACUAACACAUUAUCCAUGUAGAAAUAUAUAUUCAAAAUAAAGUACAAACAACUCUUUUUGUUAAUCAAUUACAUUUUCAAUCAAAAUAGAAUAAUCAAAGUUAUAGCUUGUAAACAUUUAGUUUAUACUAAUAUGUAACUAUAUAAUUCAGUAUAAUAUUCAGUAUGUUAUUUUUUAAAUACAAAUACCAUACCCCGAAUAUCAAAAUAAAAUAAAACAUAUAUAAUAUGCCAACCAAAUAUUACUCCCUCUAUCCCUAAUUAGUUUUCCACUAAAAUCACAAUAUUAAAAUUUUCUAUAUAGUAUGAUAUAUACCACGAUUCUCCCUCCAAAUCUAUAAAUUGGCGAGGUAGAGUUCUUUAUUUUUGCCUUCAUAAACAUGGCGUUCUCACUUCAGCUCCAACAAAUGUUCCUUUCUCCCAGUAGAUUUUGCUCCCAAUCUAAAUCAACGAACCCUCAAAUUAUUCCCAAUUUAACAAGAAAACCGUCAAUUCAUCCACUUGCCUAUGCUCAAAACAACGCCACUAGCAACAUCGAAGCAGCCAAGAGUUCAAUUAAUUCUUCGGCGGAGGAAGUUUCGUUGCCUCCAGAAUUGAGGAGAGAAUUGAUGCCGAAACAUAUUGCAGUGAUAUUGGAUGGGAAUAGAAGGUGGGCAAAGAAGAGAGGAUUACCGGUUGCGUUAGGUUACGUAGCCGGUAUUCGAGCUCUUAGGAACUUUGUUAAGCUCAGCUACAAUUGGGGAAUUAGGGCUCUUACUCUAUUUGCUUUUUCCUCUGAAAAUUGGUUCCGUCCUGAAGUAAAGUUUAUAACUUCCCCUUUCUUCUUCUUCUUCUUCUAAGGGUUCAGUUAUUGAUUUGUGUGUUGUUUAUGUUCUAGGCGGAAGUUGAUCUUUUGAUGGGCUUGUUCGAUAAAGUAGUGAAAGAUGAACUUGAAAAUCUUGCCAGGUAAAUGGUGACGUAGAUAUCAAAUCUCAAAGUUCCGAUUACAUAUUUGAGCUUUUUUUCCUUAUAAUUGACCUAGUGUAAAAAAAUGUUUUGCUAAAUCGGAACUAUUUUUCGUUAACAAAUAAUGGUAUAGAUGUGUCUUUUCUCAAAUGGAAAUGAUAUAGAAAAAUCAAACUUUUAACUGAUGGUAUAGAUGAACCUUUUCUCAAAGUUCGAUCACAUAUUUAGCACUUUCCAUAUUAUUUCGCUGCAUCAUAUCAUUGUAUUGUAAUUUUAUAUAAACUAGUCUGUCAACCAAAUGACCACUUAAUACACAACUUGGUUUAUAAAGAAGCUAUACCCUUAGUAAUUCUUAUUGUAUGUAGGGAUGGCAAUUAAGGCUAUGUGAGGUGGGGCGGGUUUAAGGUUGUCUAGCUUGCAAUAUUAUGUAUCUUAUCAAAUUUUAGUGCCUUCGGAUACAUGUAUCUCAAAAACAAUGAGGUCAAUUUUAGGUGUAAUUUGUUCCAGAUACAUUGUAUCCAAGUAUUUGAGAUACAUAACAAAUCUCACUUGCCUCCUCGCCUCUCUCCCAUCUCGCUCCAAAUACAUGUAUCUAGUGUGAUUCACAUGUAGCUAGGAUACAUAUGAAUCUCGCUCGCCUGUCUUCCGAUUUUUGUGUUUUUGGUAGCAAAAAUACAUAUAUCUAAAUGAAAGAUACGUAGGGAACUCUUCAUUAGUGGUAAAAUACGUAAUAUUUUGAAAGUAUAUGUAAUAAUAGUAUAUAUGAUAGUGAAGUAUGUUUAAUUACAGAGUUUUUCCUUGAAAUUUCAAAACGAAUGCAAUCGAUUUACUAAGAUUGUUAAUUAGCUGAAAUUACUCUCUGGAUGUAUUCUUAACGUGUUAAAGACUGGUUGAUCGACAACUCUGUAUAAAGAGGUUCAUUAUGUUUAUAACUGCGACUUCAUUGAAUACCAAUUCUUAUGUGCACUGCCAAAAUAUACAUUUCUGCAUAACCUCUCCUCUUUUCUGUCUUAGAGCUUCAACUUUGAGGUAUUAUGAUUGACUCUGUAUACUCUAAGGAGUUCCCUUAUAUGCUUUAUUGGAUUUCUACAGAGCAGGGAUUCGAAUAUCUAUAAUUGGAGACUCCAGUAAGCUCCCCAAGUCAUUGCAGGACUUGAUAGAUAAAGCGGUAAUGACUACUAAAGCAAACUCCCGACUUCACCUCAUUGUUGCAGUAAACUAUAGUGGACAGCAUGAUGUUGUACAAGCUUGUCAAACCAUUGCUCAAAAAGUUAAGGAUGGCAAUAUCGAACCCGAAGACAUUAAUAGUUUCCUAGUAGAACAGGAAUUACAAACAAAAUGUACUGAAUUUCCAAGUCCUGAUUUACUUAUAAGGACUAGUGGGGAGUUUAGACUUAGCAAUUUCUUACUCUGGCAGUUGGCCUAUACUGAACUCUUCUUUUCUCAUUCACAAUGGCCUGAUUUUGGUGAAGCUGAGUUUUUAGAGGCUUUAUCUUCUUUUCAGCAAAGACAGAGGCGCUAUGGUGGACAGAGUUCCUAGCAUCAUGCUAUGUGAAACAAGUUCGGAGUAUGUUACAGAAUGUAUAUAGACAUUAUUCAUAGUAAUACACAUAGUUAUAUUUAGGUAAGGGCGUAUUUAGGUGGAGGCUAUGGGUUCACGUGAACGUGAACUCAUGCUCCUUUCCCUAAACCAUAUAUAGAAAUGUAUAUUUAUACAAAUUUACUUUAGUAUAUGGGUGCAUCCAAGCUCAAAGUGUCCUAUAUGGUUCAAGUUCCCGGGCAUGUCUUGUUAUUGGGUGCAUCUCUACAAGUGAAAUUGACGGUUCAAAUAUGUUUUAUUAUUUUUCUUUCUUUUUCAAGAAUUGAGCCCGGAAGUUUUUUUUUUUCUUUUUCCUUCUUUCCACAAGCAUAGUAAAAUUGUGUAAUUAAAUCAAAUAUCUAUAUUAAAAACUGGUGCACAUGUAGUCAACUGACUCAACUGAUCCUAAUAUUUUUGGGUUCCGACAUGGAGUAAGAUAUUUAUGUGAAAAUCACAAAAUUUGUAAAAAUAAUUUUAUCUUGAAUUUAUAAUUUCAAAUGUGUAAUGAGUUAAUGUGAAGAACCCAAAGGUUAAACACGUCUAGUGGUGGCAAAUGGGCGGGUUGGGUCAAAUUUGAGAGGGUUGAAAACGGGUUAACCUAAAAUGAGAAAUACUGCAACCCGUCCAUAUUUGAUAUGGGUAAAAAUAGAUUGGGUAACAAAUGGGUUGGGUAAAAUACUAGUUUACCCAUAUUUACCCAUAUUUUCAUGAGAAAAUAAUACUCUACUUAAAAAUUCAACAUGGAGAAAAUAUUUUAGUCUUUUUUUUUAGAUGAAAAAUGUUAAAAUACUUUAUUUAGUUAUAUUAUAUCAUAAACGUCAAAAAGAAAAUCCUAUAACUUUUCAAUAUAAAAUAAAUUUAUGUAAUAACAAGGGGAAAAUAUUUUUAAUUUCAAAGUAAAUGAAUAUUUGCAUUUUAGGACUAAAACAUGCUUAAUGCACUUUAAACAAUGUCAAUACUAAUACAUGAUUGUUUAUUUUACACUAUUAUAUGUUUUAUCAAAUAAAAAUUAAACAAAUAAAAAAUAUAAUUAUAAUUAAGAAAAGAAAUGUACAUUUAAAAUAUAUAUUUUUUGGAGGGCCAAAGACUUCAUCUUUUCAAUUAUAGAAAAGAAUAAUUAGUUUUAUAGAAGACGUAAAAAGGAAGAGAAGUUACAACAUUUUUAGGAGAAAAGACAUAAAAUCAUUAUUGAAGUUGUCCCGAAUUUUCAAAACGACUCAUUAACUUUGCAACCGUCUUAUUACCCCACUAAAUAAUUUUGAACAUAUAUUAUUAUAUCAUUUUUCGUCUACAUAACAUAGGGAGUAGUGUGCACUCUCUCAAAGAGAGUGAUCAACCUAAAGUAACUGAUAUAAUUUUAUUUUUAUAAGUAUUUUAUUAUAAAAUAUAUUUUCUUGUUUUCUUAUUAUUUUAACUUUUUUUCCUUUUUAUUUUCUCUUUCUUUUUCAAAAAUUUAUUGUCAUUUCCAUUGAAGUUUCUCACUUUCAAUGUCACCAUUUUUACACAUUUUCACAUUCCUUUUUUUACUACUAUUAAUUUUACUCUCUUUAAUUUUAAAACUUUAUCCAAAUAUUUUCUUACAUUUCGAACAAUUUGAUAAACCCAUUAGAUUUCAAGAUGAUUAGGAAGUAUCAUAUAGUUUUCUAUCCGAUUUCAAUUAAGUUCUUUCAAUUUUCGGGAUUCAUUGAUUCUUUUAAAAUUAUCAUUUCUAAUUUUGAAGUUAUAUGAAAAUGAGUAGUUGAUGAUACCUUCAAAAAUUUAAAUUUUCUUAGAAAAAUAAUUAAUUUUGUCAUCAAUAAUUCAAUAAAGUCUAAAAAUAGUAUGAAUUCUAUAAAGAAUUUGACCGGAGAAGAAGAAAAAAAUAAAAAUAAAAAUGGGGUGGGGUUCAACUUGACGUGGGGGGUGGGGUGAGGGUGAGAGGUGAAUAAAAAGAAAGAAAAUGGAGGGAUGGAUCACUUGAAAGCGGGAGGUGGAAGAUGAAGUGAAAUUUAAAAUGAAAUCAAAAUUAAAAUAAGUCAAAAGGUAAGAGAGAGAGAGAGAGAAUAAAGAAAAAACUUAAAAUGAAAAAAAAAUUAAAUUAACACGUGUCAUGUAAUGAUUGGUGUGUGAAUACACUUGCUUCUUAAAAUUUGGGGCUGAUCAAAAAAAUAAUAUAAUAAUACAUGUUCAAAAUUGUUUAGUGGGAUAAUAGGACGGUUACGUUGCAAAGUUAAGGUGUCUUUUUGAAAAUCCGGGACAACUUCAGUGGUCACUUUAUGUGUAAUGAGUUAAUGUGAAGAACCCAAAGGUUAAACACGUCUAGUGGUGACAAAUGGACGGGUUAGGUCAAAUUUGGGCGGGUUGAAAACGGGUCAACAUAAAAUGGGUAAUACUUCAACCCGCCCAUAUAUAAUAUGGGUAAAAAUGGAUUGGGUAACAAAUGGAUUUGGUAAAAUAAUAGUUUACCCAUAUUUUCAUGAGAAAAUAGUACUCUACUUAAGAAUUCAAGAUGGAGAAAAUAUUGUAGUCUUUUUUUUAGACGAAAAAUGUUAAAAUACUUUAUUUAGUGAUAUUAUAUCAUAAAAGUCAAAAAGAAAAUCCUAUAACUUUUCAAUAUAAAAUAAAUUUAUGUAAUAACAAGGAGAAAAUAUUUUUAAUUUCAAAGUAAAUGAAUAUUUGCAUUUUAGGACUAAAACAUGCUUAAUGCACUUUAAACAAUGUCAAUCCUAAUACAUGAUCUGUUUAUUUUACACUAUUAUAUGUUAUCCAAUAUAAAAUUAAACAAAUAAAAAAUAUAAUUAUAAUUAAAAAAGAAAUGUACAUUUAAAAUAUAUAUUUUUUUGGAGGGCCAAAGACUUCAUCUUUUCAAUUAUAGAGAAGAAUAAUUAGUUUUAUAGAAGACAUAAAAAAGAAGAUAAGUUAUAAUAUUUUUAGUGAUAUCAUGAAUUUUAAAUGAAUAAAACUUGGAAGCUUAACCCAUUUAGCUAAUCCAUAUUUUACCCAUAUUUUUAUAGGUUGAGUAUGGGUAUCAACCCAUAUUUUACCCAUAUAAAAAAUCACUCACCCAACCCAUUAAAAUAUGGGUGGAUUGGACGGGUUAUCAAAAUAUGAGCUCAUUUUGCCAGCACUAAACACAUCAUAUUAAUGUAAAUUUGUAAUACAUUCUUCAAUACACAAAAUCAAAUGUUAGCUAAUGAAAAAAUAUAUCAAAGACAUACAUGAGUUGACAGAUUACAUCUUGUUCAAAGGUAAACACUGAUAUCUAAUAGAAUAACCAAGAGUUUUAGAACUUAAAGUUUGAAACUAAAAUCUAAGUCACUGGCUCUAUAUACUAAGGGGGUGUUUGAGUUGACUUCUUUUAAAUUACUUAUAAGUUAAAAGUCAUAAGUUGAAACUUUUUUUUUUUUUUUUUUUUUUGUAUUUUUUCAGCUUUAAAAAAGUACUUUUAAGUAGUUUUUUGUUAUCCAAACACUUUCAAAAUAAUAAAAAAGUAACCUAUAAGUCAAAAGUCACCAAAAACAAGUCACCCCAAACACCCAAAAAAUGAUAUAAAUAUAAUUUACUGAUUUACAAUAGGAUUAUCGGUUAACACGUUAAGAAAAAAAAUUGAAUCAUUAAGAAUCGAUAACCCGAUGAUGAUAAAAUCAAGACUGUUAGCAAAAUCGCUGAACAAAUUACCCAUUACCAAUAAACCAAUAACUAUUUUAAUUUGAAAUAUUUGAUUCGAUUUCGAACAAUCCUACCCAUUACCAAUAAACUAAUAACUUUUUUUUUUGCUUAAUUAAUUAUUUCGAUUCGAUUUUGAACAAUCCUACGAGAGUGUAAAAAAUAAAUAUGUAUCAUUAAAAUUUUUAUAUAAAAAUAUACAUACAUAUGCAAUUAUAUUUUUUAAUAGAUAUUUAUAUAGUUAAUUCGAUUCAAUCUUUUUUUGUUCGCAUAAAAUUAAACUCAAAUUUUAUCAAUUAAAAGUCAAAAUCAAAUCAAGUCGAACAUAUAUAGAGAUUUUUUUUAAAAAUUCAAUGUGUGAACACCCUAAAUUGCUUGUCGAAUUCAAAUUGUAUAAUUUGGAUUAUUUUUUUGUUUUAAUUAGUAGCCACACGUACGUUGCGUAGAAUUUGGAGGUUUUCUUGUUGCAACGACAACAACAAAUUGGUUGAAAGCAAUAGUGAUUAUUUUCUAUUGUUCUGAAAGCACUAAACAGAUAAUUCCAUUGCACUUGUUUGAUUUUCAAAUUUUGUGUCGGUUUGGAUUCACUUAUAUAAAUAUUUUAAAGUUAAAAUAAUUUUUAAAGAAAAUACUUUUAAAUAUAUAAUUUCAAAUCAAAAAUCAUAAAUCAUCGGUCAAAACCAAUCCAGGCAACUAGUUUCUAAAGCAUACAAGUUGCGCUUGGUGCUUUGUCAAUAUUUGCCAAAAUUUUAAAACUAUAAUUAUAUAUUUUAUGUUAGAGAUAAUUUACAUAAAAAUUAAUCAAAAAAAUAAAAUCAUGCAAAUUCCUUAGCCAUAACAGAAUUGCAUGCCAAGACAAUAUUGAGUUUCUUUUUCACGUCCGAUAUUCAUAUUUAAAUUCGAAAAAUCCCACGUUAAAGAUAAAGUGCUCCCUAACAAAAAUAAAUCCGUACCCAAAGAGACUUGAACUCUCGAGACCUCUAGCUAGUUAAGUUCAAUCACUAUAAAGGCUGCAAAAUAUAUUCGCCAUGAAAAAUUAAUGGUAGAAGUUUAAGAUAUUUCGUAUUUUUUUAUUAUGAAGAAAUUGCAAGCUUUCCUCAAGUGAAAAUUCAAAAGGAGUUCAUCACAGCCGUUCGUUUCCCUCCAAAUCUAUAAAUUGGCGAGCAAGAGCUCCUUUUGCCUUCAUAAACAUGGCGUUUUCACUUCAGCUCCAACAAAUCUUCCCUUCCCCCAUUAAAUUUUGCUCCCAACCAAAAUCACCAAACCCUCAAAUUUUCCCCAAUUUAACAAAAAGACUGUCAAUUCAUCCACUUGCCUCUGCUCAAAACAACGCCACUAGCAACAUUGACCACAAUUAUAUCGUCACGGACAAGAGUUCAAUCAAUGAAGAAGAAGUGUCGUUGCCUCCAGAAUUGAGGAGAGAACUGAUGCCGAAACAUAUUGCAGUGAUAAUGGAUGGGAAUAGAAGGUGGGCAAAGAAGAGAGGAUUACCGGUUGCGUUAGGUUACGCAGCCGGUAUUCGAGCUCUUAGGAACUUUGUUAAACUCAGCUACAAUUGGGGAAUUAGGGCUCUUACUCUAUUUGCUUUUUCCUCUGAAAAUUGGUUCCGUCCUGAAGUAAAGUCUAUAACGUCCCCUUUUUUUCUUCUUCUUCUAAGGGCUCAGUUAUUGAUUUGUGUUGUUUAUGUUAUAGGCGGAAGUUGAUCUUUUGAUGGGCUUGUUCGAUAAAGUACUGAAAGAUGAAGUUGAAAAUCUUGCCAGGUAAAUGGUAACGUAGAUAUCGAAUUAUAAUACAUUAGCCAAUCGAACAAACUAUAUAUCUAUUGAUUUAUCUUACCGCAAAAUAUUGAAAUCGAACUUAAAAGUAGCGAUACUAUAUUUUUGAAAAAACUGAAAACUAAAAUUACCAAACUGAAGUUUUCAAGAGUUAUGUUUCUCUAACCAGGGCGGAUUUACCCAACUUUUUACUGGUUAGAUGGAACUAAAUAGUUGACUCAAAUCUUUUUUGUGUUAAGAAAUCUAUUUGUAUAUAAUCUAUCUCGAACCGAGUAAACAAAAGAGUUAUGACUUCAGAACUCAUAAACUUUAAAUCCUCAUGAAGCCACCUCUUUUCGUGGUCGUCUCUUGUCAACACCUACUAACAAUGUGUUAGUUAAUGAUCUCCCUAGGGGGCUGCAUAAGGGGAACUAAUCCCAAUAUACAUUUCUGCAUUAUAACUCAUACAAAGUUUGAAUUGCAGUAUAAAACUUUGGAUUACUAGUGUAAUCUUGCAUAAGUAAUACGUUUGCUUCCGGUGUAAAAUUCUACUACUUAACAACAAAUGCAGCAUUUUUCGUUUUUGUUUUAUGCUUUCUAGAAUGUGGAACAAUCAAAAUACACAUAUCUGCAUAACCUCUCCUCUUUUCCUUCUUAGAGCUUGAACUUUGAGGUAUUAUGAAUUUAUGAUCGACUCUGUAUAGUCUAAUGAGUUCCUUUAUAUGCUUCUUCAUUGGAUUUAUACAGAGCAGGGAUUCGAUUAUCUAUAAUUGGCGACUCCAGUAAGCUCCCCAAGUCAUUGCAGGAUUUAAUAGAUAAAGCGGUAAUGACUACUAAAGCAAACUCGCGACUUCAUAUCCUCGUUGCAAUUAACUAUAGUGGACAGUAUGAUGUUGUACAAGCUUGUCAAACCAUUGCUCAAAAAGUUAAGGAUGGUACUAUCGAACCCGAAGACAUUAAUAGUUUCCUAGUAGAACAGGAAUUACUAACAAAAUGUACUGAAUUUCCAAGUCCUGAUUUACUUAUAAGGACUAGUGGGGAGCUUAGACUUAGCAAUUUCUUACUCUGGCAGUUGGCCUAUACUGAGCUCUUCUUUUCUCAUUCACAAUGGCCUGAUUUUGGUGAAGCUGAAUUUUUAGAGGCUUUAUCUUCUUUUCAGCAAAGACAGAGGCGCUACGGUGGACAGAGUUCCUAGCAUCAUGCUAUGUGAAACAAGUUCGGAGUAUGUUACAGAAUGGAUAUAGACAUUAUUCAU
rnacentral:lncRNA from 1 species